rnacentral:rRNA from 1 species
UACGAGGUGCGAGCGUAAGUCGAGUUACUGGGGGCGUAAAGGCGCAUGCAGGUGGUUUGUUAAGUCAGAUGUGAAAGCCCGGGGCUCAACCUCGGAAUUGCAUUUGAAACUGGCAGGCUAGAGUACUGUAGAGGGGGGUAGAAUUUCAGGUGUAGCGGUGAAAUGCGUAGAGAUCUGAAGGAAUACCGGUGGCGAAGGCGGCCCCUGGACAGAUACUGACACUCAGAUGCGAAAGCGUGGGGAGCAAACAGGAUUAGAUACCCCCGUAGU